GACGAACGCUGGCGGCGUGCUUAACACAUGCAAGUCGAACGGAAAGGCCCUGCUUUUGUGGGGUGCUCGAGUGGCGAACGGGUGAGUAACACGUGAGUAACCUGCCCUUGACUUUGGGAUAACUUCAGGAAACUGGGGCUAAUACCGGAUAGGAGCUCCUGCUGCAUGGUGGGGGUUGGAAAGUUUCGGCGGUUGGGGAUGGACUCGCGGCUUAUCAGCUUGUUGGUGGGGUAGUGGCUUACCAAGGCUUUGACGGGUAGCCGGCCUGAGAGGGUGACCGGCCACAAUGGGACUGAGAUAGGGCCCAGACUCGUACGGGAGGCAGCAGUGGGGAAUAUUGCACAAUGGGGGGAAGCGUGAUGCAGCAACGUCGCGUGCGGGAUGAGGGCCUUCGGGUUGUAAACCGCUUUCGCCUGUGACGAAGCGUGAGUGACGGUAAUGGGUAAAGAAGCACCGGCUAACUACGUG
rnacentral:rRNA from 1 species